CACGUAGGUGGCAAGCGUUGUCCGGAAUUAUUGGGCGUAAAGCGCGCGCAGGCGGUCCUUUAAGUCUGAUGUGAAAGCCCACGGCUCAACCGUGGAGGGUCAUUGGAAACUGGGGGACUUGAGUACAGAAGAGGAAAGCGGAAUUCCAAGUGUAGCGGUGAAAUGCGUAGAGAUUUGGAGGAACACCAGUGGCGAAGGCGGCUUUCUGGUCUGUAACUGACGCUGAGGCGCGAAAGCGUGGGGAGCAAACAGG
rnacentral:rRNA from 1 species